GAUGAACGCUGGCGGCGUGCCUAACACAUGCAAGUCGAGCGGAGGUAGUAUGAGUACUUGUACAAAGACUACCUUAGCGGCGGACGGGUGAGUAACACGUGAGUAAUCUGCCUCAUAGAGGGGAAUAGCCUUCCGAAAGGAAGAUUAAUACCGCAUAAGAUUGUAGCUUCGCAUGAAGUAGCAAUUAAAGGAGCAAUCCGCUAUGAGAUGGGCCCGCGGCGCAUUAGCUAGUUGGUGAGGUAACGGCUCACCAAGGCGACGAUGCGUAGCCGACCUGAGAGGGUGAUCGGCCACAUUGGGACUGAGACACGGCCCAGACUCCUACGGGAGGCAG
rnacentral:rRNA from 1 species